rnacentral:lncRNA from 1 species
UUAUCCCCAAAUGACCCCAAGGGAAAGAGAGAUCAAGGGAAGCAAAGAGAAAUAGAAAGAAACAAGAAGCUAGAAUUCUGGACAGCUGAAUUACUUCACUAUUUUGAGGUUGGUAUCCAUUAUUUUUGAGGGGUUUAUAAUCUUUCGAACAUCUAAACUUGAUGGUGAUUUGGUGAUCAGGUUAUUGGUGAUUUUAUGAUGGCAAAAUAAGGGCAAUUAAUUACAAGAAAUUGAAAGAAAACCAAAAACUGUCACAAGGAAAACUGCCUAAUUUUGUGUUGUGGAAAAAUGAUGAUUUUGUAGGUUAAAACACUUCACUUAUCACAACUUAAUGACAUUUUUACCUUCAUAUACAUUCUAUAGAAAUAUGGUAAAAAUUUUGGAGUCGUUAGAUAUAGUCAGGGGGGUGAAAAACGAUUGGAAAAAUAGUUGGAUGGUAAUGGAAAACUGAAAAAUAGAUUCUGUCCAUUUACGUGUUUGAUGUAGUUUCAACCUUUACAUGUCCAUUGAUCAUCUCUUGGAACUAGAAAAUAGAUUCUAAGGAGUACUAGGUUGUUGACAACAAUUGAUUGACGUUGAUGGUCAUAAUUGGACUCGAGAAAUUGCGAGAUUUAUGGGGCUAGAUUGUAAUGACUUCGGUAACUUAAAAUUAUAAUUUCGCCUAAAUUGUUUUGGCAUGAAUGGACGUAUUUUGGGAUUGUGUGUGUUAAGGUUAUUUAUUAAAUGAAAGAUUGUCUUUAAUAUUAGAUGGUAAUAUAGCUGAUUUUUCAACGUUGAGUGAAAAAGGAAACUGAUAUACACCCGUAGGAGCUUGCACACACAAAGGCAGAAGGUAAGUAAAAAUUCAUUUCCAACUAUGAUGUAAGAAUCUAUUAUUUGUAAAAUGGUAAUGUUGGAAUAUUUACACAAGUUUGAUAAGAGACUUAUUGCACAUUAUAUGAUGGUUAUGAUCGGUGAGUAUGAGGUUGCAGAACCUAUUGAUAUCAAUUUUCAUUAAAUAUAUCAUUCAUGAACAUUUUCAUCUGCAUGCACGAUAUGUGAUUCAUGGUUGAAAAUUCUGCAUGUGAAACAUAAUUUCAAAUUGAAUUUUCCUUAUAAAUGUUUUAUUAACCACUACUAGGGUACUGAGGCAUGUGAGGCAUGCUUAUAUGAUAUGUUUUGAUAUCGCGAGUGAUACUCUUUAGGUAAUUGCAAAGGUAGAGAGGGGAUGGGCCUUUGGUGAUCACGGGAAGGUGGACCACUCGACUGUGCCUUUAAGAUAUUAUGAUUAUUGGAGUUGCCAGAUGAGAUGCUUCUUAGGGGAUCAUAGAGGUAGUUAGUAGAUGGGCCUCUAGUGGUCAUGAGAGGACGGUCCACUUGCCGGUAUCGAUUUCAUAUUAGCCAUUUGAUUAUUAAUUAUUGAUAUUGAUAUUAUGCAAAGCUCUAUCCGAUGCAUUGUAGGUGAAUCAAGGGCCCAAUGAAAUGAAAGAUUUCAAAUGAAAUGAUUUCGAGUUAACUUUGAUAAAUAUUGGAAUAUGAUGUAUCUUUAGCGUGACGUUUAAAGUAAAUAGCAUAGUGUCAUAUAUCAUUGUUACUCAUGCUCAUGACAUGUAUGAUUUUUUUUUUACUAAGCAUUGGCUUACGCAGUUCUUACAUUAUAGGUGAGUAUGGAACUGUAUAGAGGGAGUACGGCUAGCUAUGGAGCUCUUACGAGAUUUUAGAGUUCGAUUACAUGAAUGACGACCUGUAGGAUUAUUUUGUGGGCUAUUUUUUUUAGCUUAUAGUCUGUUGUGUUAUAUUUUGAGGAUCCCAUAUCGUAUAUCCCUUUUGAAAUGGCCUGUAGAUAUGUAUGUUGGAUUUUGGUUAUUUGAUCUUUGGUUUUGUUAUACCAUAUGAUUGUCACAAGUUACUAGAAGUUAACAAAUGAAGAC